CUCUGUCUCACAUUCCAUGUUAUAUCACAGCACUCUCUGUCUCACUCUCUCCCACACUCCAUAUCACAGCACUCUCUGUCUCACAUUCCAUGUUAUAUCACAGCACUCUCUGUCUCACUCUCUCCCACACUCCAUAUCACAGCACUCUCUGUCUCACAUUCCAUGUUAUAUCAAAGCACUCUCUCUCUCUCUCACCCACACUCCAUAACACAGC